GCUUUGGCAAUGGGGGAAACCCUGNNCAANCGACGCCGCGUGGGUGAUGAAGGCCUUACGGUUGUAAAGCCCUGUCAUGGGGGGAGAAAAGGUGGUGGGUUAAUACCCCGCUGCCCUGACGGUACCCCAAGAGGAAGCUCCGGCCAACUCCGUGCCAGCAGCCGCGGUAAUACGGGGGGAGCGAGCGUUGUUCGGAAUCACUGGGCGUAAAGGGCGCGUAGGCGGCAUGGUAAGUCAGACGUGAAACCCUUCGGCUUAACCGAGGACCUGCGUUUGAUACUGCCAAGCUAGAGUCCGGGAGAGGAGAGCGGAAUUCCAGGUGUAGCGGUGAAAUGCGUAGAUAUCUGGAAGAACACCGGUGGCGAAGGCGGCUCUCUGGCCCGAUACUGACGCUGAGGCGCGAAAGCCAGGGGAGCAAACGGGAUUAGAUACCCCGGUAGUCCUGGCCGUAAACGAUGGGCACUGGGUGCGGGAGGUAUCGACCCCUUCUGUGCCGAAGCUAACGCAUUAAGUGCCCCGCCUGGGGAGUACGGUCGCAAGGCUGAAACUCAAAAGAAUUGACGGA
rnacentral:rRNA from 1 species